AUUGAACGCUGGCGGCAUGCUUUACACAUGCAAGUCGAACGGCAACGAGGAGAAGCUUGCUUCUCUGUCGGCGAGCGGCGAACGGGUGAGUAUAGCAUCGGAACGUGCCAAGUAGUGGGGGAUAACCAAACGAAAGUUUGGCUAAUACCGCGUAAGCUCCAAGGAGGAAAGUAGGGGACCUAAAUAAGGCCUUACGCUAUUUGAUCGGCCGAUGUCGGAUUAGCUAGUUGGUGGGGUAAUGGCUCACCAAGGCAAUGAUCCGUAGCGGGUCUGAGAGGACGAUCCGCCACACUGGGACUGAGACACGGCCCAGACUCCUACGGGAGGCAGCAGUGGGGAAUUUUGGACAAUGGGGGAAACCCUGAUCCAGCCAUGCCGCGUGUAUGAAGAAGGCCUUAGGGUUGUAAAGUACUUUUGUUAGGGAAGAAAAGCUAGUUUUUAAUAAAAAUUAGUGAUGACGGUACCUAAAGAAUAAGCACCGGCUAACUACGUG
rnacentral:rRNA from 1 species